AUCAGUGGCGAACGGGUGAGUAACACGUGAGCAACCUGCCCUGGACUCUGGGAUAAGCGCUGGAAACGGCGUCUAAUACUGGAUAUGAGACGUGGCCGCAUGGUCAACGUUUGGAAAGAUUUUUCGGUCUGGGAUGGGCUCGCGGCCUAUCAGCUUGUUGGUGAGGUAAUGGCUCACCAAGGCGUCGACGGGUAGCCGGCCUGAGAGGGUGACCGGCCACACUGGGACUGAGACACGGCCCAGACUCCUACGGGAGGCAGCAGUGGGGAAUAUUGCACAAUGGGCGGAAGCCUGAUGCAGCAACGCCGCGUGAGGGAUGACGGCCUUCGGGUUGUAAACCUCUUUUAGCAGGGAAGAAGCGAAAGUGACGGUACCUGCAGAAAAAGCACCGGCUAACUACGUGCCAGCAGCCGCGGUAAUACGUAGGGUGCAAGCGUUAUCCGGAAUUAUUGGGCGUAAAGAGCUCGUAGGCGGUUUGUCGCGUCUGCUGUGAAAUCUGGGGGCUCAACCCCCAGCCUGCAGUGGGUACGGGCAGACUAGAGUGCGGUAGGGGAGAUUGGAAUUCCUGGUGUAGCGGUGGAAUGCGCAGAUAUCAGGAGGAACACCGAUGGCGAAGGCAGAUCUCUGGGCCGUAACUGACGCUGAGGAGCGAAAGGGUGGGGAGCAAACAGGCUUAGAUACCCUGGUAGUCCACCCCGUAAACGUUGGGAACUAGUUGUGGGGUCCAUUCCACGGAUUCCGUGACGCAGCUAACGCAUUAAGUUCCCCGCCUGGGGAGUACGGCCGCAAGGCUAAAACUCAAAGGAAUUGACGGGGACCCGCACAAGCGGCGGAGCAUGCGGAUUAAUUUCGAUGCAACGCGAAGAACCUUACCAAGGCUUGACAUAUACGAGAACGGGCCAGAAAUGGUCAACUCUUUGGACACUCGUAAACAGUGGUGCAUGAUGUCGUCA
rnacentral:rRNA from 1 species